GACGAACGCUGGCGGCGUGCUUAACACAUGCAAGUCGAACGGCAAGGCCCUGCUUUUGUGGGGUGCUCGAGUGGCGAACGGGUGAGUAACACGUGAGUAACCUGCCCUUGACUUUGGGAUAACUUCAGGAAACUGGGGCUAAUACCGGAUAGGAGCUCCUGCUGCAUGGUGGGGGUUGGAAAGUUUCGGCGGUUGGGGAUGGACUCGCGGCUUAUCAGCUUGUUGGUGGGGUAGUGGCUUACCAAGGCUUUGACGGGUAGCCGGCCUGAGAGGGUGACCGGCCACAAUGGGACUGAGAUACGGCCCAGACUCCUACGGGAGGCAGCAGUGGGGAAUAUUGCACAAUGGGCGGAAGCCUGAUGCAGCAACGCCGCGUGCGGGAUGACGGCCUGCGGGUUGUAAACCGCUUUCGCCUGUGACGAAGCGUGAGUGACGGUAAUGGGUAAAGAAGCACCGGCUAACUACGUG
rnacentral:rRNA from 1 species